ACUUAAAUAGUUUAAAAAAAAUGUUGAUUUGUGAUGUCAAAGAUAUGAUGAUCAUUUUAGGUU
rnacentral:tRNA from 1 species